rnacentral:rRNA from 1 species
CCUACGGGGUGCAGCAGUGAGGAAUAUUGGUCAAUGGACGAGAGUCUGAACCAGCCAAGUAGCGUGAAGGAUGACUGCCCUAUGGGUUGUAAACUUCUUUUAUAUGGGAAUAAAAUGUUCCACGUGUGGGAUUUUGUAUGUACCAUAUGAAUAAGGAUCGGCUAACUCCGUGCCAGCAGCCGCGGUAAUACGGAGGAUCCGAGCGUUAUCCGGAUUUAUUGGGUUUAAAGGGAGCGUAGGUGGAUUGUUAAGUCAGUUGUGAAAGUUUGCGGCUCAACCGUAAAAUUGCAGUUGAAACUGGCAGUCUUGAGUACAGUAGAGGUGGGCGGAAUUCGUGGUGUAGCGGUGAAAUGCUUAGAUAUCACGAAGAACUCCGAUUGCGAAGGCAGUUCACUGGACUGCAACUGACACUGAGGCUCGAAAGUGUGGGUAUCAAACAGGAUUAGAGACCCGAGUAGUC